rnacentral:misc_RNA from 1 species
CCUGCUGGAACAUUGGUCUCAGCGAUCAUUAUUUCUGAUUUAAGCAGUACUGCUGUUGUUGAAACUGGCCUAUCUUCAGCUUCAGCUGAUUCAAGGCAAAGAAACACAUUUGGAGAAAUAAGUAAACAUGAGUCUGAGAAUGCUGAGUUCAGGGUAGCAAUCCUAACAGUUAGUGAUACUGUUGCAGCAGGGGCUGGGCCUGAUCGAAGUGGACCUAGAGCAGUAUCAGUUGUAAAUUUGUCAUCAGAGAAGUUAGGAGGAGCAAGAGUAGUUUCAAUGGCUGUUGUCGCAGAUGAUGUAAUCAAAAUCAAAGAUGUUUUGCAGAGAUGGAGUGAUAUCGAUAAAAUGGAUCUCAUCCUUACCCUGGGUGGCACUGGCUUCACCCCAAGAGAUGUGACUCCUGAAGCAACAAAGGAGUUGAUUGAGAGGGAAACACCUGGCCUUUUGUAUGUCAUGAUGCAAGAGAGUUUAAAGGUGACACCAUUUGCUAUGUUGUCACGUGCAGCGGCAGGAAUAAGAGGGUCAACACUGAUUAUCAAUAUGCCUGGAAAUCCUAAUGCGGUUGCAGAAUGCAUGGAGGCUUUGUUGCCUGCCCUUAAGCAUGCAUUAAAGCAGAUAAAAGGAGACAAAAGAGAGAAAAAUCCUCGUCAUGUUCCUCAUGCAGAAGCAUCACCUGAAGAUACAUGGGAACGCAGCUAUAAGUUGGCUUUUGGCAAUGUCCCAGAACAUACUUGUUCUUGUUCUCAUUAGGUAUUGUGGUAAUACAAAUAUGUAAUUUAUGUAUUAUGUGGGUCUCUAUCUAAAAUUUGAGUCUACAUGAAAACGUUUUGUUAGUCAUCUCUCAAAUUUUAGAUAGAGACCCACAUAAU